rnacentral:rRNA from 1 species
UACGGAGGGGGCUAGUGUUGUUCGGAAUUACUGGGCGUAAAGGGCGCGCAGGCGGCUUGGCAAGUCGAGUGUGAAAUCCCUUGGCUUAACUAAGGAAUGGCGCUCGAAACUACCUCGCUAGAGGACGGGAGAGGGAAGUGGAACUCUCGGUGUAGGGGUGAAAUGCGUAGAUAUCGGAAGGAACAUCAGUGGCGAAAGCGGCUUCCUGGUCCAGCACCGACGUUCAGGCACGAAAGCGUGGGGAGCAAACAGG